rnacentral:rRNA from 1 species
GUGAGGAAUUUUCCGCAAUGGGCGAAAGCCUGACGGAGCAAUGCCGCGUGAAGGAUGAAGGCCCAUGGGUUGUAAACUUCUUCUCUCAGAAAAGAAUUAUGACGGUAUCUGAGGAAUAAGCAUCGGCUAACUCUGUGCCAGCAGCCGCGGUAAGACAGAGGAUGCAACCGUUAUCCGGAAUGAUUGGGCGUAAAGCGUCUGUAGGUUGUUUAAAAAGUAUUCUGUCAAAGAUUAGGGCUUAACCCUAGAUAGGCAGAAUAAACUUUUAAGAUAGAGUUUGGUAGAGGCAGAGGGAAGUCCCGGUGGAGCGGUGAAAUGCGUAGAUAUAGGAAGGAACACCAGUGGCGAAGGCGACUACCUGGACUGAUACUGCCACUGAGGUGCGAAAGCGUGGGGAGGAAACAGAAUUAGAUACCCUGGUAGUCC